UGGAUUUCUCUGUGAAUCACCA
rnacentral:miRNA from 1 species